ACACAUAUGUACCCACCCCUCUUUGAUAUCGGUUAAAUGGGUUUUCCCAGCAAUCUAGAGGCCCUCUAUAAGGCUUUGGAUAUCGUAUGGAGCCACGUCGAUCAGUAUAGCGUGGGCACUACAUUCUUUAUAGGGGGACCAUCACCUCCUCGUAAAUAUAAGUAACCUUUUACACAAGUCCUUUCCAAAAUAGGUAAGUUUGAGCCUGCUUACCCCAGGCAAUAAGUAUGCCUUCACAAAGUGGGGGAGCAUUAUGUAAAAAUAUAUGUGCUCAGAUCCAAAAUAAAUUUGGUGAAAUUAUACCCAAAACCACCUUGGAUCUAUAAAAUUGCCCCUAGUAGCCGUCAUAGAUCUCUUUCUUCUCUGGACACACUGCCACAUGAUUCCCUCUCUGGAUUUCUAAUUCUAACGUUGAUAGUCUUUUCUGACUUUUC
rnacentral:lncRNA from 1 species